GCCAACCUCAUUUGGAAAAUGGUGUAAGUCUUGUAACUUUAGUUCACAUGGAAUGCAUCAAAUAUUUGCAUAAGAGGGAAGCUAUACAACACAUUUUUUAUUACAUAAGCAAGUCUCCUGCAAUUACAUUCUUUUGGUUCAAAUAAUGGUAACUAUAUUAACAUGACAAGAUGAGAAUGAUUCUAGUUGCCUUGGUCUUCAUAGCUUACAACCUCCAUGUUAUACCACUGCCGAUCUGUGCAACCCGUAGCAAAGCAAAAUCUGCAAACCUCACCACCGGUCUGCAAUAAUCCUACAACAGCCAAGGUUCAUCACCAUACAUCCAUAGGCAAUGCAUAUCUAAAGGUACCAUAAACAAUCCAUAACCAUUUCACAACAUCAAUAACAUUGCAAGUUAUACAACAACAACAAUUAAUAUCACCUAACCUCACCAAUCAACAUUUAACUGAACAAUAAUUAAACAGAAAAACCACCACUUAAAGUCACAACUAACUUGAACUAACUCAAGUUUUUAAAUCAGUUCUAACUAAUUCAGUUACACUUCGACCCAAAUUACUUUCAUUUAGAUUCAAACUAAUAUACUCUAACUAUCAAUCUAAUUCACUAACUCACACCAUUUAAUCAACUAAUACAUAAACAAUCAACUUAACAUAUCAAGUUGAUCAUAAACAAUCAACUCUGUUUAAUCCCAAUCCCUAUAAAUGUAAUCAGGACUCAAUCAUUCAGGGGGGUUUCGUUUUCCCCACUUCUACAGAAUCUCUCUUUUCCUUAUUCACUUUUCAUAU
rnacentral:lncRNA from 1 species